GAUGAACGCUGGCGGCGUGCCUAAUACAUGCGAGUCGAGCGAACGGACGAGAAGCUUGCUUCUCUGAUGUUAGCGGCGGACGGGUGAGUAACACGUGGAUAACCUACCUAUAAGACUGGGAUAACUUCGGGAAACCGGAGCUAAUACCGGAUAAUAUUUUGAACCGCAUGGUUCAAAAGUGAAAGACGGUCUUGCUGUCACUUAUAGAUGGAUCCGCGCUGCAUUAGCUAGUUGGUAAGGUAACGGCUUACCAAGGCAACGAUGCAUAGCCGACCUGAGAGGGUGGUCGGCCACACUGGAACUGAGACACGGUCCAGACUCCUACGGGAGGCAGCAGUAGGGAAUCUUCCGCAAUGGGCGAAAGCCUGACGGAGCAGCGCCGCGUGAGUGAUGAAGGUCUUCGGAUCGUAAAACUCUGUUAUUAGGGAAGAACAUAUGUGUAAGUAACUGUGCACAUCGUGACGGUACCUAAUCAGAAAGCCACGGCUAACUACGUG
rnacentral:rRNA from 1 species